AACGAACGCUGGCGGCGUGCUUCAGACAUGCAAGUCGUGCGAGAAAGCCCCCUUCGGGGGGUGAGUAGAGCGGCGCACGGGUGAGUAUCACGUGGGUAAUCUGCCUUCGGGUCUGGGAUAACCUCGGGAAACUGGGGCUAAUACCGGAUGAGACCACGAGGUCUUCGGACCUCGCGGAAAAAGGUGGCCUCUUCAUGAAAGCUAUCGCCUGGAGAUGAGCCCGCGUCCCAUUAGCUUGUUGGUGAGGUAACGGCUCACCAAGGCUCCGAUGGGUAGCUGGUCUGAGAGGAUGAUCAGCCACACUGGAACUGAGACACGGUCCAGACUCCUACGGGAGGCAGCAGUCGGGAAUUUUGGGCAAUGGGGGAAACCCUGACCCAGCAACGCCGCGUGAGGGAUGAAGGCCUUCGGGUCGUAAACCUCUGUCGGGAGGGAAGAAUGGCGUCCAUUCGAAUAGGGUGGGCGAUUGACGGUACCUCCAAAGGAAGCGCCGGCUAACUCCGUG
rnacentral:rRNA from 1 species